rnacentral:rRNA from 1 species
CCUACGGGGGGCAGCAGUGGGGGAUAUUGCACAAUGGGGGGAACCCUGAUGCAGCGACGCCGCGUGGGUGAAGGAGUGCUUCGGCAUGUAAAGCCCUAUCGGCAGGGAAGAAGCAAGACGGUACCUGACUAAGAAGCCCCGGCUAACUACGUGCUAGCAGCCGCGGUAAUACGUAGGGGGCGAGCGUUAUCCGGAUUCACUGGGGGUAACGGGAGCGUAGACGGCCAUGCAAGCCAGGGGUGAAAGCCCGGGGCCCAACCCCGGGACUGCCCUUGGAAUUGCAUGGCUGGAGGGCGGGAGGGGCAGGCGGAAUGCCUGGUGUAGCGGUGAAAUGCGGAGAGAUCAGGAGGA